rnacentral:rRNA from 1 species
GACAGAGGGUGCAAACGUUGUUCGGAAUUACUGGGCGUAAAGCGCGUGUAGGCGGCUAUGCAAGUCGGGGGUGAAAGCCCGAGGCUCAACCUCGGAACUGCCUUCGAUACUGCGGGUCUCGAGUCCGGGAGAGGUGAGUGGAAUUCCUAGUGUAGCGGUGGAAUGCGUAGAGAUCGGGAAGAACAUCAGUGGCGAAGGCGGCCUGCUGGGCUGUUGCUGACGCUGAGGCGCGACAGCGUGGGGAGCAAACAGG